AUUGAACGCUGGCGGCAGGCCUAACACAUGCAAGUCGAACGAGUGGCGGACGGGUGAGUAAUGUCUGGGAAACUGCCUGAUGGAGGGGGAUAACUACUGGAAACGGUAGCUAAUACCGCAUACCAUCGGAUGUGCCCAGAUGGGAUUAGCUAGUAGGUGGGGUAAAGGCUCACCUAGGCGACGAUCCCUAGCUGGUAUGAGAGGAUGACCAGUCACACUGGAAUUGAGACACGGUGGAGACUCCUACGGGCGUCAGCAGUGGGGAAUAUUGCACAAGGGGCGGAAGCCUGAUGCAGCCAUGCCGCGGGUAUGAAGAAGGCCUUCGGGUUGUAAAGUACUUUCAGCGGGGAGGCGUUACCCGCAGAAGAAGCACCGGCUAACUCCGUGCCGGCCGACGCGGUAAUUC
rnacentral:rRNA from 1 species